CCACGAUUUCAUAGUCUACUGGACGAGAUCUUUUCACACCAAAGAGUUCCUUUUUCCAUCAUACCUGUCUGACAACUUUCGUAACCGAGGAUUGCUUAGGUCGACCAUUGAUUGCUGCAGAGCUCUCUCUCCCCUGUCCAUCGUCGCCCUGAUCUAGAUCUACUAGCACGUCGUAUCUUGAGCCAGAUGUAGGUUUAGUGCCCUGAUUCUGACGCAGCGAUCGAUUGUCCAUUGGGUUUCUCAAAGUUCGCACGUUUCUAGAUCGUCUCGCGUCUCGUCUGAAUCUCAUGAAGUCUCCGAACUCCUCUUCCGGCAAGCUUCGAUAAUCGUCUGGUGGUGCCCUUGCGGAUUCAUGAUUUCUUUUGGAAAAGUAGGGGUUGAGAAGAUGAAAUUUGGAUCAAGUUUGGAGCUGGAGUUAUGCUAAAAGAAAUCGACAAUAUGGGAAUCAGUAGGACUCUGAAGAAAAGAGAUUUAUGUGUGCGUUUUUUAUAAUAUAUAAGUUUGUAGAGCUAACAAAACUAUAAAAGUCACAAAGAA